UACAAAGUAAUGCAUUACUGUAAUCACAUUACAUUUGUCAGUACCACAGUAAUGGAACAAGUUAAAUGCUCUAGAUUCAGUAG